rnacentral:piRNA from 1 species
UGGAAAGUGUGUUGGCCAUGGAGGU